rnacentral:rRNA from 1 species
UGCUAUAUGCUCAUCCAAUAUAAAGUAAUCUCCUGCCCAGUGACUAAAUCAACGGCCGCGGUAUCCUAACCGUGCAAAGGUAGCAUAAUAACUUGUCUAUUAAUUGUAGACUAGAAUGAAAGGGGUAACGAAAUAAGAACUGUCUCAUUAAACUACUUAUAAACUAUUCUAAAAGUGAAGAAACUUUUAUAUUAUUAAAGGACAAGAAGACCCUAUAGAGCUUAAUCACAACAUUAUAACUUAUAAUUUUAGAUUCGGUUGGGGCGACCAAGGAAAAUUCAUCCUAUUCACAUUUGAUAUAUUAAUCACUAUUUGAUCCAUUUUAUGAACAUAAAAUCAAGCUACCUUAGGGAUAACAGGCUAAUCCUUCUUCAGAGUUCUUAUUAACAGAGGGGAUUGGCACCUCGCAUGUUGGCUUAGAUUUCCUUAGUGACGCAAAAGUCAUAUAAGGGGGUUUGUUCAACCCUUUAUUAUC